AUUGAACGCUGGCGGCAGGCCUAACACAUGCAAGUCGAGCGGAGCGGCGGACGGGUGAGUAAUGCCUAGGAAUCUGCCUGGUAGUGUGGGAUAACGUCCGGAAACGGGCGCUAAUACCGCAUACUAUCAGAUUAGCCUAGGUCGGAUUGGCUAGUUGGUGGGGUAAAGGCCUACCAGGGCGACGAUCCGUAUCUGGUAUGAGAGGAUGAUCAGUCAAACUGGAACUGAGACACGGUCCAGACUCCUACGGGAGGAAGCAGUGGGGAAUAUUGGAAAAUGGGCGAAAGCCGGAUCCAGACAUGCGGCGUGUGUGAAGAAGGUCUUCGGAUUGUAAAGCACGUUAAGUUGGGAGGCGGUACCAACAGAAUAAGCAACGGCUAACUUCGUGCCAGCCGCCGCGGUAAUAC
rnacentral:rRNA from 1 species